CUGAGUCAGGCGCACUGCUGGAGGAGCUCAUGGAGGUGCGUGAGCCACCUGCAGAAACCCCGCAGGGCAGAGCUGCUGGGCCACGCAGCCAGGGCGCCGCAGGGCUUGCUGCCCUGCUCGGGCCUGGCCUUGCUGUGCCCUGGGCGCGGGCUGCAAACACCCUUUCCCACCCUGCAUCCAUGCCCCUGGUCCCCAUUGCCUUGCAGUAUAAGAAGAGGUCUGCGGAGCUGGCAGCUGUUCUCCGAGAGCAGACCAAAAUCCGUCAGGUACGCAGGGUGGGAGGGAGAGAAUGGAGAGCAGCGCACUGAUCGGGGAAAGCCCCCUGCCAGCAGACACGGGACGGGCUCUUGACCGGACCCUUUCCUUCCCCAGGCACUGAAGGAGGAGGUGGAAAUGGAGAUGAAAAACCUCCAGAAGGCACAACGGAGGGCCCAAAAGCGCACUGCGCCGUGAGUAGCAGCACAGCCCAGACCUGAGGCAGGGGGGAGCUGGGAUCCCAGCAGCCCCCAGCCAUCUGGGCCGUCGGCUGGAGCUCGGGAAGGCCGGGCCUGUGCAGGUCUGGCACCCAGGGGUGCCCGUCCCAGCUCCAGCAGAGGCCGGGCAGCUGCCUCGGGUCCCCGUGGCCACCAUGGGAUGGGGGGGGGGGGGGGGGUCCUGGUGCCGGCCGAGGCCUCUUCUCACACACCAAACUCCCCGCGUCUGUAGCAGGAGGAAGAUGACACGCAGGGAAGAGCACAUGAGUUCCCUGCUGCAGGAGACAGUGGCUGUGCGAUUGGUAAGAGAGAAAGCGCCAGCGGGGCCUUGGGGAGGGAAGGCUCACCUCAGGGCCACCGCAGGGGAUAUGGGCCUCCCUCUGGCUGUGGGGACGAAGGAGGGCUUCCGAGUGCCCAAACCUGCGCUCACCCCAACGCGUGGCCCUACUUUGCUUUGUCCUCUAGGAUGAGCAGACGGCAGCACAGAAGCAUCCACUUGUAACUUCCUGGCUGCGG
ensembl:lncRNA